rnacentral:rRNA from 1 species
UACGUAGGGGGCAAGCGUUGUCCGGAAUUAUUGGGCGUAAAGAGCGCGUAGGCGGUCCGAUAAGUCGGCUGUGAAAGUCAGGGGCUCAACCCUUGAAAGCCGGCCGAUACUGUCGGACUAGAGUCCGGAAGAGGCAAGUGGAAUUCCCGGUGUAGCGGUGAAAUGCGCAGAUAUCGGGAGGAACACCAAUGGCGAAGGCAGCUUGCUGGGACGGUACUGACGCUGAGGCGCGAAAGCCAGGGGAGCGAACGGG